UGUACACCGUAACAGCAAUAUUGUACAAU
rnacentral:miRNA from 1 species